rnacentral:rRNA from 1 species
GGAUGCGACGUACCAUAACUAACACACCGUAUCCCAUCAGAACUCUGAAGUUAAGCGUGCUUGGGCGAGAGUAGUACUAGGAUGUGUGACCCCAGGAAAGUCCUCGUGUUACAUCCC